CAACCCUCAGAGCCCACCGCUUGCGGUGCGGCGCUGGUGUUGGGGAUCGGCCCGCCUCGCGCGGCGCCGUCCCCCAAAUACAGUGGCGGUCUCGCUGCAGCCUCCCCUGCGUAGUAGCAACACUCGCAUGCGGAGCGCGGCGCGGCCACGCCGUAAAACCCCCGACUUUCUGAA
rnacentral:misc_RNA from 2 species